rnacentral:tRNA from 1 species
AAGGAUAUAGCUCAGUGGUAGAGUGAAUGCAUGAGGUCCUGGGUUCAAUUCCCUGUACCUCUG